rnacentral:rRNA from 1 species
CUUGCCCUCUAUCUGCAUUCCUAACACAUGCAAGUCGAGCGAGCGGCGGACGGGUGAGUAAUGUCUGGGAAACUGCCUGAUGGAGGGGGAUAACUACUGGAAACGGUAGCUAAUACCGCAUACCAUCAGAUGUGCCCAGAUGGGAUUAGCUAGUAGGUGGGGUCCUGGCUCACCUAGGCGACGAUCCCUAGCUGGUCUGAGAGGAUGACCAGCCACCAGGGAAAUGAGACAAGGUCCAGACUCCUACGGGAGGCAGCAGUUGGGAAUAGUGAACAAUGGGCGCAAGCCUGAUGCAGCCAUGCCGCGUGUGUGAAGAAGGCCUUCGGGUUGUAAAGCACUUUCAGCGGGGAGGCGUUACCCGCAGAUGAAGCACCGGCUAACUCCGUGCCAGAAGCCGCGGGAAUUC